UCUACUGGGAUAAAAUGUGUAGUCUGGCCUGCCCACUGAAGUUUAAAGGGCCGCGGUAUCUGAACCGUGCUAAGGUAGCAUAAUCAAUAGUCUCUUAAUUGGGGUCUAGAAUGAACGGUCGGACGAAAAAUCAGCUGUCUUGCAUGUAAAAUUGAACUUUACUUUUAAGUGAAAAGGCUUAAAUUCAAUGAAGGGACGAUAAGACCCUAUGAAGCUUAAUGUAAACUAUUUUAAAGUAACUUUAAAUAAUUGGGUGUUUUAUUUUUAUAAUGNUUUAUAUUGUGCUGGGGCGGCUGUAAUAUAAAUUUAACUGUUAUUCGGUAAAAAAUAAUUAUAUUUAGAUAAAUUUGAUCCUCUACUUAUGGAUUAUAAGAUUUAAGUUACUCUAGGGAUAACAGCGUAAUUCUUCUUGAGAGUUCAUAUCGACAGAAGUAGUUGCGACCUCGAUGUUGAAUUAAAAUUUCAUUAAGGUGUAGGAGCUUUAAUAGUAGGUCUGUUCGACCUUUAAAAUUUUAC
rnacentral:rRNA from 1 species